AAAAAGACAAACCCUGAGUUUCCGUGUCCAACUUUAACUAUCCGUCUUAUAUGAAAUUUUUUUAUAAUUUGUAUUUUUAUUAUUGUUAGAUGAUAAAACAUGAUUAAUACUUUGUACGUGACUUGUCUUUUUAAUUUUUUUUAUAUUUUAUUUAAAUAAGACGGACGAUUAAAUAUUAGACACGAAAAUUAGGGUU
rnacentral:pre_miRNA from 1 species